AGGGAUUGCCCCAGUAACGGCGAGUGAAGCGGCAACAGCUCAGAUUUGAAAUCUGGCCCUCUACGGGGUCCGAGUUGUAAUCUGUAGAGGAUGCUUUUGGCGACGCGCCUUCCGAGUCCCCUGGAACGGGGCGCCAGAGAGGGUGAGAGCCCCGUAUGGUCGGACGCCGAACCUUUGUAAAGCUCCUUCGACGAGUCGAGUAGUUUGGGAAUGCUGCUCAAAAUGGGAGGUAAAUUUCUUCUAAAGCUAAAUACCGGCCAGAGACCGAUAGCGCACAAGUAGAGUGAUCGAAAGAUGAAAAGCACUUUGAAAAGAGGGUUAAAUAGCACGUGAAAUUGCUGAAAGGGAAGCGCUUGUGACCAGACUUGCGCCCGGUUGAUCAUCCAGCGUUCUCGCUGGUGCACUCUGCCGGGCUCAGGCCAGCAUCGGCUCCCCCAGGGGGAUAAAGGUCGCGGGAACGUAGCUCUCUCCGGGGAGUGUUAUAGCCCGUGGCGGAAUACCCUUAGGGGGGGUCGAGGCCCGCGUACGCAAGGAUGCUGGCGUAAUGGUCACCAGCGACCCGUCUUGAAACACGGACCAAGGAGUCAAGCAUUAGGGCGAGUCUUUGGGUGUAAAACCCGCAGGCGCAAUGAAAGUGAACGGAGGUGAGAGCUUCGGCGCAUCAUCGACCGAUCCUGAUGUUCUCGGAUGGAUUUGAGUAAGAGCCUUACCGCUUGGACCCGAAAGAUGGUGAACUAUGCCUGAAUAGGGUGAAGCCAGAGGAAACUCUGGUGGAGGCUCGCAGCGGUUCUGACGUGCAAAUCGAUCGUCAAAUUUGGGCAUGGGGGCGAAAGACUAAUCGAACCAUA
rnacentral:rRNA from 1 species